rnacentral:rRNA from 1 species
UACGGGGGGGGCAAGCGUUGUUCGGAAUUACUGGGCGUAAAGGGCUCGUAGGCGGCCAACUAAGUCAUACGUGAAAUCCCUCGGCUUAACCGGGGAACUGCGUCUGAUACUGGAUGGCUUGAGAUUGGGAGAGGGAUGCGGAAUUCCAGGUGUAGCGGUGAAAUGCGUAGAUAUCUGGAGGAACACCGGUGGCGAAGGCGGCAGCCUGGACCAACACUGACGCUGAGGAGUGAAAGCCAGGGGAGCAAACGGG